rnacentral:tRNA from 1 species
GGUGGGGUGCCAGAGUGGUCGAAUGGACCGGUUUUGAAAACCGGCGUGGCCUUCGGGUCACCGUGGGUUCGAAUCCCACCCCCACCG